rnacentral:rRNA from 1 species
CGUAACAAGGUUUCCGUAGGUGAGCCUGCGGAAGGAUCAUUACCUAGAGUUUGUAGACUUCGGUCUGCUACCUCUUACCCAUGUCUUUUGAGUACCUUCGUUUCCUCGGCGGGUCCGCCCGCCGAUUGGACAACAUUCAGACCCUUUGCAGUUGCAAUCAGCGUCUGAAAAAACAUAAUAGUUACAACUUUCAACAACGGAUCUCUUGGUUCUGGCAUCGAUGAAGAACGCAGCGAAAUGCGAUAAGUAGUGUGAAUUGCAGAAUUCAGUGAAUCAUCGAAUCUUUGAACGCACAUUGCGCCCCUUGGUAUUCCAUGGGGCAUGCCUGUUCGAGCGUCAUUUGUACCUUCAAGCUCUGCUUGGUGUUGGGUGUUUGUCUCGCCUCUGCGUGUAGACUCGCCUUAAAACAAUUGGCAGCCGGCGUAUUGAUUUCGGAGCGCAGUACAUCUCGCGCUUUGCACUCAUAACGACGACGUCCAAAAGUACAUUUUUACACUCUUGACCUCGGAUCAGGUAGGGAUACCCGCUGAACUUAAGCAUAUCA